GAUGAACGCUGGCGGCGUGCCUAAUACAUGCAAGUCGAGCGAACAGACGAGGAGCUUGCUCCUCUGACGUUAGCGGCGGACGGGUGAGUAACACGUGGAUAACCUACCUAUAAGACUGGGAUAACUUCGGGAAACCGGAGCUAAUACCGGAUAAUAUAUUGAACCGCAUGGUUCAAUAGUGAAAGACGGUUUUGCUGUCACUUAUAGAUGGAUCCGCGCCGCAUUAGCUAGUUGGUAAGGUAACGGCUUACCAAGGCAACGAUGCGUAGCCGACCUGAGAGGGUGAUCGGCCACCCUGGAACUGAGACCGGGCCCAGCCUCCUAGGGGGGGCAGCAGUGGGAAAUUUUCCGAAAUGGGCGAAAGCCUGACGGAACACCCCCGCGGGGGUAGUAAAGGUUUUGGGAUCGAAAACCCUUUUUUUGAGGGAAGAACAAAUUGGAAAGUAACGAUCACCGUUUUACCGGUACCAAAUCAAAAAGCACCGGCUAACUCGGG
rnacentral:rRNA from 1 species